CUCUACCUCCUCCCAUCCUCUGGCUGUGCUGUGCUAGACAGGGGAGAUCCUGAGUAAGGCCCUGCCCCAGCUCUGCCUGGCUGUGUCCGCCAUGACCGUUUCUUCUGGAGGACCAGGAGGGCUCCUCAUACACACAUGCUCAACAUACGGAGAAGGAUCAAAAGGCAGUCCAUUUCAACGGUGGAGCUUUGGAAAAGAUGGCAGCAUUUCUCCAAAGGUGUUCCCUGGGUUGGUCCUAACCUACCUGCAGGAUGGGGUUGGCUGUGCAGAGGUUGGCCCCUCUGAGCCAGAGGGUGUGGGGGUGGCUGGAUAGGGGGGAGCACGCAGACACCAGAGGUGUCCCAGAGUGACACACCAGAGUGACACACCAGAGUGACACAGACAGGCAGACCGGACCAUGGGCAGGUCACAGUACUGAGUAUCAGUAAAGCACAUUCAAAAUGGGGUUGUGACUUAACUGAGUUAUUGCAUUCACGUUUCCGUGUUCAAGUGCUGCUUAAGGGUUUGUAACUAUUUGUAUGUUUUAUUAAGCUCUAUGAAGCUGUUAUUUUGUUUCAUUAGGUCAACGUUCUCCUGUGAGAAAUAGGGGAAUUUGUUUUUGCAGAGAGACAAGUCGUGAGAGAACACCAGCUGCAUUUCUGAUGUAGUCUGAUCUGACAAGAUCACAGCACAACAGGAGCAAUUUGAUAUUGUUUAUCAAAAAAAAAUAUUUUCUGGUCAUCAUGUAGAGAAGACGUGUAUAAGUACAGAAUGAGAGAAUAUURCCACAAUUAAAGCUGCAAUAUGUAACUUUUUUGGGCGACCUGACAAAAUCCACAAAGAAAUGUGAGUUAUAGAUCUGAUAUUCUCAUCAAAAGCAAGUCUAAGAUGCGGUAGAUCUGUUCUAUGUGCUCUARUUCUARGCUUCCCGMUUUCAAGUUUUGUUUUUGRYUCUUUUACUUUCAGUUUUGUACACCAGCUUCAAACAUUUGAAAAUACGAUAUUUUUUAUUAUGGAAAGUAUAUUUCACAYCGGUUUACAUGGUACAGUGAUUCUAUACACUAUACUUGCUUAUUUUGWCACAUAAACUGAAAUUA